CGGAGCUACCAUGCAGUCGAGCGGUAGCACAGAGAGCUUGCUCUCGGGUGACGAGCGGCGGACGGGUGAGUAAUGUCUGGGAAACUGCCUGAUGGAGGGGGAUAACUACUGGAAACGGUAGCUAAUACCGCAUAACGUCGCAAGACCAAAGUGGGGGACCUUCGGGCCUCAUGCCAUCAGAUGUGCCCAGAUGGGAUUAGCUAGUAGGUGGGGUAACGGCUCACCUAGGCGACGAUCCCUAGCUGGUCUGAGAGGAUGACCAGCCACACUGGAACUGAGACACGGUCCAGACUCCUACGGGAGGCAGCAGUGGGGAAUAUUGCACAAUGGGCGCAAGCCUGAUGCAGCCAUGCCGCGUGUGUGAAGAAGGCCUUCGGGUUGUAAAGCACUUUCAGCGGGGAGGAAGGCGUUAAGGUUAAUAACCUUGGCGAUUGACGUUACCCGCAGAAGAAGCACCGGCUAACUCCGUGCCAGCAGCCGCGGUAAUACGGAGGGUGCAAGCGUUAAUCGGAAUUACUGGGCGUAAAGCGCACGCAGGCGGUCUGUCAAGUCGGAUGUGAAAUCCCCGGGCUCAACCUGGGAACUGCAUUCGAAACUGGCAGGCUAGAGUCUUGUAGAGGGGGGUAGAAUUCCAGGUGUAGCGGUGAAAUGCGUAGAGAUCUGGAGGAAUACCGGUGGCGAAGGCGGCCCCCUGGACAAAGACUGACGCUCAGGUGCGAAAGCGUGGGGAGCAAACAGGAUUAGAUACCCUGGUAGUCCCACGCCGUAAACGAUGUCGAUUGGAGGUUGUGCCCUUUGAGGCGUGGCUUCCGGAGCUAACGGCGUAAAUCGACCGCCCUGGGGAGUACGGCCGCAAGGUUAAACUUCAAAGGAAUUGACGG
rnacentral:rRNA from 1 species